AACGAACGCUGGCGGCAUGCCUAACACAUGCAAGUCGAACGAACCCUUCGGGGUUAGUGGCGCACGGGUGCGUAACGCGUGGGAAUCUGCCCUUUGCUUCGGAAUAACAGUUAGAAAUGACUGCUAAUACCGGAUGAUGUCUUCGGACCAAAGAUUUAUCGGCAAAGGAUGAGCCCGCGUAGGAUUAGGUAGUUGGUGGGGUAAAGGCCUACCAAGCCGACGAUCCUUAGCUGGUCUGAGAGGAUGAUCAGCCACACUGGGACUGAGACACGGCCCAGACUCCUACGGGAGGCAGCAGUGGGGAAUAUUGGACAAUGGGCGAAAGCCUGAUCCAGCAAUGCCGCGUGAGUGAUGAAGGCCUUAGGGUCGUAAAGCUCUUUUACCCGGGAUGAUAAUGACAGUACCGGGAGAAUAAGCCCCGGCUAACUCCGUGCCAGCAGCCGCGGUAAUACGGAGGGGGCUAGCGUUGUUCGGAAUUACUGGGCGUAAAGCGUACGUAGGCGGUUAUUCAAGUCAGAGGUGAAAGCCCGGGGCUCAACCCCGGAACGGCCUUUGAAACUAGGUAGCUAGAGUCUUGGAGAGGUCAGUGGAAUUCCGAGUGUAGAGGUGAAAUUCGUAGAUAUUCGGAAGAACACCAGUGGCGAAGGCGACUGACUGGAC
rnacentral:rRNA from 1 species